rnacentral:tRNA from 1 species
AUUUAUAUAGUAUAAAAGUAUAUAUGACUUCCAAUCAUAAGGACUAAUUAUUAAUUAGUAUAAAUA